GUGGUAGUGUGGCCGAGCCCAGUAUAGUCCGACCGGUACAGGGAGCUGUUGUUUCCUGUACCCGGCCGGACUAACAGGAAGUGAACACUCAGUGUUCACUUCCUGUUAGUCCGGCCGGGUACAGGAGACAGCUGCUCCCUGUACCGGUCGGACCAUGCCAUAGAGGGCUCGGCCACGCUACAGAGAGGGAGCUGACAGGUGGGAGCGCUCAGCGCUGAGCGCUCCCUCCUGUC